rnacentral:lncRNA from 1 species
ACAUGCUGUCCUACUGUGCUUGCAGGAGAUAAACUUAGAAGACUGCUGAACUUUGCCAAAUUGGGGCCCUGAAUAAAACAUAAACACCAGGGAACACGUUGAUGCAACUGAGAAGUAUAAAAGUUGGAAGUCAGAAGAGUCAGUGAGAGUCCCUCUCAGACAAGCCAAGGUGAAAAGACCACUCAAGACCAGACAAGCUGCCUGGAAGAUGUUUAGACCUACUGAGGCAUAUGGAAAGGAUACUCUGCAACUUGUUGAUCUGAUUACAGGCUGUGCAGUGUGCUCCAGGCUCCCUGCUUUUGUGAGCUGUCAACCAUGCUGGGGUGGGCUUUGGUGAUGCAGCUGUCUCUGAAUUAUUUCUGCUUCUACAAG